AUUCAAAUAUCUGCCCUAUCAACAUUUCGAUGGUAGGAUAGAGGCUACCAUGGUUGGUGACGGGUAAUCGGGGAAUAAGGGUUCGACUUCCGGAGACGGGAGCCUGAGAAACGGUACCACAUCCACGGAAGGCAGCAGGCGCGCAAAUUUACCCAAUCCCGACACGGGGACGGUAGUGACAACUAAACUAACAAUAUACGGGCCCUUUAUGGGUCUUAUAAUGGGAAUGACGUACAAUUUAAAUCCGUAUAACGAGGAACAAUUGGAGGGCAAGUCUGGUGCCAGCAGCCGCGGUAAUUCCAGCAUCCAAUAGCGUAUAUUACAGUUGUUGCAGUUACAAAAGCUCGUAGUUGAACUUCAGACCUGACCGGGACGGUACCGCCUAACGGUGUGUACUGUCUGGCCGGGCCUUACCUCUUGGUGAAGCCCGGCAUGCCCUUCAACUAGGGGUG
rnacentral:rRNA from 1 species